rnacentral:rRNA from 1 species
GAUGAACGCUGGCGGCGUGCCUAAUACAUGCAAGUCGAGCGAACAGACGAGGAGCUUGCUCCUCUGACGUUAGCGGCGGACGGGUGAGUAACACGUGGAUAACCUACCUAUAAGACUGGGAUAACUUCGGGAAACCGGAGCUAAUACCGGAUAAUAUAUUGAACCGCAUGGUUCAAUAGUGAAAGACGGUUUUGCUGUCACUUAUAGAUGGAUCCGCGCCGCAUUAGCUAGUUGGUAAGGUAACGGCUUACCAAGGCAACGAUGCGUAGCCGACCUGAGAGGGUGAUCGGCCACACUGGAACUGAGACACGGUCCAGACUCCUACGGGAGGCAGCAGUAGGGAAUCUUCCGCAAUGGGCGAAAGCCUGACGGAGCAACGCCGCGUGGGUGAUGAAGGUCUUCGGAUCGUAAAACUCUGUUAUUAGGGAAGAACAAAUGUGUAGGUAACUAUGCACGUCUUGACGGUACCUAAUCAGAAAGCCACGGCUAACUACGU